rnacentral:rRNA from 1 species
CAGUGGUACCAACACCUACCCUGCUGCUGCUACCGUCCUCCCCGCUUGUAGGUACCCCGCCCGGCGGUGGUACCUCUACCUCGAGGAAGAGGGGAUGGUGCGUUGGAAGGAGGGUCGCGGUUGUCUCCCGGCCGAUGGUACUGCGCUGUCGCGGCAGCGUUCGGAGCGUCCCGACACGUAGAGCAGCAGACGGUGCGGGAUGGUCCUCGAGGUAAUGGGUGCGCAGAGGAGACUCCUCCCCUGCCACCGAACACGCGGCCGCACCAACCGAGGUGGAGGGGCGGCUGGAUACUGAGGUGUACGCAGCGGCAGAAGCUGGCGUCCAGGUACAGGAGCUAGACGAAGGAAACGAAGGGCAUCCAAAGGCGUAUCUAGACCGGCAAACUAAACUACGCCUACGCUUAAACCUAGAGGUAGCGACAUCCAAAGGGCAUCCAAAGGACAAGCAUGAGUGCAAGCUUAAUCGUUACUUAGGGAGUCAAAUACGUCAAAGCAACACCAACUAACUGUAGGGACACUUCUAUUUUAAGUCCUGGUUGACAAUCGAAAAACACUUCGUUUUUGUUAACCAUUUUUUAGCAUCUUUGGGGGUUAGUCAGCUAAAUAUCAACUGUCUUCUUCAUACUAAACCACAACCACACACACUUGAAGACUGUAAAACUAGAGACUUACGAUCAACCUGUAAAACGAUCAUACUGUAAAACUAUAGACUUACGAUCAAACUGUAAAACUAUAGACUUAGGCAAAGAGAAGGGGAGUAGAAAAGAAGAAGACGAGAGACAGAAUGGGGGAAGAGUAGAGAGAAAGCUUGGUCCUGCAGUGGUACCCUCUUCUUCCGCACUACACAACACGACGACGAACCCUCCCUGCGGUACCCGGAGGGAUGAGACGAAGAAGAGAAGGGGAUUGAGGUAGUUCCACUACCUAACCAUGUUGCUGGAUGAGGGGACGAAGGAUACAAUUAAACCACACGCUACACCUACACUACAUAAAAUCCGUACUAAUUUAUGCAUAAAACCAAGUUGAGACUGACUUUGUUGAACAACCAAGUCAAAGAACAUACUUCUUGUUUAUACUGCUUGUGAAAAAGAAAAGGAAAAACAAGUUCUAAGUAAAGAUUAAGAUUUGGUUUGACUUUAACGUUUAUCAGAUCUUACUUACUUCGUCUCUCAGGAAGGAAGAAACCGUCGACCUGUUAAGGAAGAGUUCCACGACCACAAACACCUCCACUAACUGGAGAAAAAAAAUGAGACACAUAGUUCCACGUCGACGACUCGUAACUAUCCACAACAAGCCACAUGGAGCUGUACUAAAGGUCCUGUACUUUACAGUCGAUAGAUUCGACGAGGAAACAAGGACCUGUACUAAAUAGGAAGCUAAACUAGUUGUAAUAGAACAAUACAGAGAACAGGCAGUACACGUCGCCGUUGUCCUAAACGUCUCAUGUUCCCACCCGAGUAGCUCCAAACGCCACCAUCCGAGCGAGCCGGGGUCGCAGAAGACAACUUGCCUGUACGGCGGAGAAGCCGCAGCCGAUGUACUCUCGGUACCUUAGUUACUACGGCUGGAGUAACGACCCGUGACACGAAAACCACAUACUAUACCGACCCUCUUUUGUGUAUCAAAGGACGACCAAAUAAUGUAUAGUCGGUCAUGACAUGCCUCAUCAUAUAUUCCUGCAAAAUGACAUCAUACCGACUCCGUCACUGAUCGAACCAUCAAUCAUGAUCGACUCUUUUAAGUACUACGACCGACCCUCGUUUUUCAAAUAUCCGAAUCAACAACAUAACCAAGAUAACAACAUACCCCUAUAUACGUAUCUAUACAUUGUACACCCAAGGUUCGUACGAAGGCUCUUUUUCAUUUUAAUGUAUAUGAGGGAGGUAAGCCUUAAUGAACAGUGUUUUUACCUACAUAGAUGUUGAUUUUAUGUAGCUCUAUGUAAGUAAAAAACCUGCACAUUAAGCUUGCUUCCCUCAUGUUAAA